CGCCGGAUAUACCAUGACCAGGUCCACGCUUCCGAUCAGGUGGGGCAUCAUAACAUUUUCCAUGCACCCCACAAAGCUCAGUACAAGAAGCAUCAUCAGCACAACCAGCAAUUCUUCCUUUACAAUUAGCAGGUGGAUCUACAAUGCAUGUGAAAUUCAUAUCAUCACCAAGAUGGAGAAAAUAAGAGAAAAAUAUAUAUAUCCCGUAAAAAUUUCAUUAUGAUAUUUAAUUAUUAUUGACACUUUUAAGUAUAAGCAAUACAAAUAAAUAGUGGAUAAUAGAUUGAUUGUAUAUAAAAUAUAGAUAUUUAUACUAAAAAAAUAAAGAAAAUUGCACAGAAGUAAAAACAUUUGGAAGAUAAAAACUUUGUUUGGUAUUUGUUCACAUACAAGUUUGACUAAGGGAGAAUGGCAAAACUAAAAUUAUGAUUGCAACAAUAAAUUUGAGCAGAGACAUUGAAACAAU
rnacentral:lncRNA from 1 species